UUUCAGGGAGGGAGGUUCCAGUAAAAAUGAAGUUUCUCUGGGGACAGAACAAGAGUGGUGGUGACCAGUUCCAGGACAUCCCUCCCCAGCCUGUGCCUGUGGAUACUAAAAUCCGGGAAUGCUCAAGUCCCUUAUAUAAAAUAACCAGUGUCAUCAGCCCUUUGCAUCCACGGGCCUGACUGUAUAUUCCUCUAUAGGUCUACAUUGCAGUUUCAAAAAUUAAAAAAUAAAGUUCACUGAUAUGC